rnacentral:rRNA from 1 species
AUUGAACGCUGGCGGCGUGCUUAACACAUGCAAGUCGAACGAAGUGGCGAACGGGUGAGUAACGCAUAAACAACCUGCCCUUCAGCGGGGGACAACAGUUGGAAACGACUGCUAAUACCGCAUACUGAAGGAGGGGCUUGCGUCAGAUUAGCUAGUUGGAGGGGUAACGGCCCACCAAGGCGAUGAUCAGUAGCCGGGUUGGGAAGAUGAAUGGCCAAAGUGGGACUGGGAACCGGCCCAAAAUUCUUCGGGGAGCCGCCAUGGGGAAACUUCCGCAAUUGACGAAAGUCUGAAUGCGCAACGCCGGGUGCGUGAGAACGGGCUUCGGGUUGGAAAGAUCUUUUAAUCGGGACACGGUAUCGGAAUAGAAAGCCACGGCUAACUACGUGCCAGCAGCCGCGGUAAUUC